AUUCUAUAAUAUACCAAAUGUCAGAAUAAUACGAACUUCUGUUUAAAAUUCAAAGAACUUGGCGGUGUCUAAUCAAAACAGGGGAACCUGUCCUUUAAUUCGAUAAUCCACGUCAUCAUUACCACCACUAACAAAGCCUGUGUACUGCCGUCGUCAGCUCACCUCUAAAAGAGUGUGCAAAAAAUAUUUACAUAUUCCACGUCAGGUCAAAGUGCAGCUCAUGUGAUGGAAGAGAUGGGUUACAACCUUAAAAAAAGAAACAAAUCUAUAGCCUAUACUCUAUAGUGAAGGAGGGCUUGUAAGUAAUACAUAUACAUAUAAUUAUGAACAUGAAUCU
rnacentral:rRNA from 1 species